rnacentral:rRNA from 1 species
GACGAACGCUGGCGGCGUGCUUAACACAUGCAAGUCGAACGGAAAGGCCCUGCUUUUGUGGGGUGCUCGAGUGGCGAACGGGUGAGUAACACGUGAGUAACCUGCUCUUGAUUUUGGUAUAACUUAAGGAAACUGGGGCUAAUACCGGAUAGGAGCCCCUGUUCCAUGGUGGGGGUUGGAAAGUUUCGGCGGUUGGGGAUGGACGCGCGGCUUAUCAGCUUGUUGGUGGGGUAGUGGCUUACCAAGGCUUUGACGGGUAGCCGGCCUGAGAGGGUGACCGGCCACAUUGGGACUGAGGUACGGCCCAGACUCCUACGGGAGGCAGCAGUGGGGAAUCUUGCACAAUGGGCGGAAGCCGGAUGCAGCAGCGCCGCGUGCGGGAUGACGGCCUUCGGGUUGUAAACCGCUUUCGCCUGUGACGAAGCGUGAGUGACGGUAAUGGGUAAAGAAGCACCGGCUAACUACGUG